rnacentral:sRNA from 2 species
AUUUCUAAAUCGCUGAGUCAAUUCGAACGGGGAAACCAUUUUUGUGGCAUAUUCUUGCCACUGGGGUGAAUCCUAUUUAUAGGUAGGGCUACUCUUUGGUCCAAAUCCGACAGCUAACUCCGUAGGCGUAUAGGAGAAGAAGG